rnacentral:lncRNA from 10 species
AGGGUUUCACCAUGUUGGCCAGGAUGGUCUCAAUCUCUUGACCUCGUGCUCUGCCCUCCUCGGCCUCCCAAAGUGCUGGGAUUACAGGCGUGAGCCAUCGCGCCUGGCCACUGGGUUCUCUUUUCUAGUCAUUCCAUAUUCAAUAUCAUCCUGGUCCCUAAUCAGAGCUCUUCCACUAUCCUUGCUCUCUAGUCUGUCUGAUUCUUAACCAGGACUUACAUUUCCUAUUUCAUAUUUAAAGAUCUACUAGUCUAGUUAGCCAACACAGCCAUUUAACUAUCCCCAAAUCCUUCCACUCCAAGCCUUCUCAAACCAGUCUUCUGUUAAAUACACCACCAACUCCCAUCUGGUUUGACCUUGAAUCUGAUCCUCUGAUAACUGCUCCAUCGCCAGUGUCCUGUGGAUCUGUCAUUGAACUUGUACAGUUAUCUCUUCCAACACCAGUGCCCCUAGAGUGUGAACUCAAACUCCAGGCUCUGUUAAGUAUUCUAGACUCGAGUCCACUCUGAACUGACCUCAAACCUAGAUAUUCAUUUGAUUGUCCUCAUCCCUUUUUCUCUGGUUUGAUCCUAAACCAAGGUCUGUGUUAACUAUUACGCCUGGAAUGUUCCUCUAGUCUGAGUUCAAGCAUUUUCUAACUAUCCCAAUAUCAAAUCCCACCUCUUUGUCUAUAUAUUUAACAGAAUAAUUAAAGCAGAACUAAUUAAAACUCCUUGCCCCUCUUACUUGACCUCAAAUCUGGGUGUCUUUAUUCUAUCAUCAGUGCUUUUCUUGUCUAUUAUUGAACUCUGUGUAUUAACUCUCCUAACAUCAAUGUCCGU